GGCUCAUUAAAUCAGUUAUAUUUUAUUUGAUGGUACCUUACUACUUGGAUAACCGUGGGAAUUCUAGGGCUAAUACAUGCUAAAAGCCCCGACUUCGGGAGGGUCGAAUUUAUUAAAUUAAAAACUAAUGGCCUUCGGGGCGCCUCGGUGAAUCACAAUAACUUAACGAAUCGCAUGGCCUUGAGCCGGCGAUGGUUCAUUCAAAUUUCUGCCCUAUCAACUUUCGAUGGUUUAAUAUGGGCCUACCAUGGUUUCAACGGAUUACGGGGAAUUAGGGUUCUAUUCCGGAGAUGGAGCCUGAGAAACGGCUACCACAUCCAAGGAAGGCAACAGGCGCGCAAAUUACCCAAUCCCGACACUGGGGAGGUAUUGACAAUAAAUACCGAUGCAGGGCUCUUUUGGGUCGUGUAAUUGGAAUGAGUACAAUUUAAAUCCCUUAACGAGGAACAAUUGGAGGGCAAGUCUGGUGCCAGCAGCCGCGGUAAUUCCAACUCCAAUAGCGUAUAUUAAAGUUGUUUCAUAUAUAAAUUUCAUAGUUGGAUUUCUGAUCAUUCACGAUGCUGACCGCUCAAAC
rnacentral:rRNA from 1 species